rnacentral:lncRNA from 1 species
GGGCUAUGUACGAUAUUCUAAAAAAGGGGAGAUUACAUAAUUUGAAUAUAAAAUGUCAACUAAAAUUAUUUGACAAAGUAGUUAAGCCUAUAUUAUUAUACGGGUGUGAAGUCUGGGGAAUGGGUAACACCUCUGUUAUAGAACGUGUUCAUCUAAAAUUUUGUAAAUUACUGCUUAAUCUUAAAAAAUCCACGCCUGAUUAUAUGAUAUAUGGGGAACUUGGCCGAUUCCCACUGGAUAUUUUUAUCAAAUUACGUACUAUUAAUUAUUGGGAAAAGCUUG